GAUCCCUUGAGCCACCGCCUUACGUGUUAAUUUAGCUUGGACGCGUAGUACAAGGACAGUUACUAAGGAAUUCGAGCGACUAUGGAAAUAACUGUCAGAGACCGGUAUUCUCCUCUGGCAGUUAUCGUUAUUGGCUCGUAGUUCUAGUUCUCUGGCAGUUAUCGGGCUACCACUACAGGUAACCUGGAAGCUGGUAACGGAAUAACUGUGUGUGUAGACGUUCCUGACUCGGUGACUCCAGUUAAAGGUCGUAGUUCCAGGUGAUAUUUCCAGAGAGGAUAGUAGCUGGAGCGAACAAAUAUUUUCGUACUGCUACGGAAACGACGGUGGGCCAUCAGGGAGGGCAAAUAACGGGAAUCUAUCGUCUCAUUUCUCUGCAAUUCUUGGUGUUCCGGAACAGGUGUCACUAUUUUUCCGGCCUUUGGUUGCGUUACAGGGUAUUGACUUUCGUUCCGCGUUCUUGUUUUUCUUUGUGUUGUUGAUAUUACUACCAAUAGUUGCCAACAUGUAGAGGUCGAGGACAAGCGAAAUGUGGUCAUAUUUCGAAACUCUUGAUCGAGAGUUUGCGAAAUGUACUUUGUGCGGUAAGAAAUUAUCGUUCAAAUCGACGACGACGAAUUUAAAAAAACAUCUUCAGAAAUCACAUUUAAUUGUGAAUUUCUCUUCACAAAGACCUUCGGAGCUAGAUUUGGGUGAAACCCUUCCUGUAGAGGUGAUCCUUGGUACCAGUAGUGUGGAAGAGGAGCGAGAGGCACACCAACACCAGCAGAUGAGUCUCCGUUUAAUACUUGGGAUAUUAUAACAGUAAGUUAUAGCUCCAGCAGUCAGUCACCAGCAGCAGAUGUCACACAGUUAUAAAAUGGGAAACUUGAAGAAUAAGCUCCAGAAGUCAGCAGCAGCAGCCGCCGUCACACAGCCAUAAUGCGAGAAGCUUGAAGAAUAAUGUGUUAUGGCUCCGAUAGUCUUCCAGCAGCAGCAAAUGUUACACAGUCCUAUAGAGGCAAACUUGAAGUAUAAAGUAAUAGUGUUUUGCAUACAAUGGCAAACUUGACCUUUCGCUUAAAAUGGAGAACUUAAUUUCAGUAUCGGCUUUGAAAUUUGGUCACUGGAUACAACUAUAUCACCUUUCAUGUUGAUAGCAGCAAUCAUCAGAUUGCAAUCCAGUUAAGUACCUGUGAGGCAUGAGAUGUCAAAAAUACUUGUGGGUUAUUGGUAGCCUGUGUCAAGGCAUGUGGCACCUCAAAGUUUGUAAGUACAGUAGCAUUUUGUUUUCUGCUUUACUUAAAAAUUGGUAGCUGUAGCACCCAUUCUGACAUUCAAUUAUUUUGAAUUUCAAGUUUCUUAGAAUGAUACUGACAUCAGUUUGUUAACACUAAUCCGUAUAUUAUUGUUAAUAUAUGCUGCUAUUUUCACAUCUUGUGCUCAGUACUAAAUUUCAUUUGCAAAACACGGAAGUUUUCCUAUCUUUGUGGUGGAACACAAGAAAUUCUCAUAAUUUUGCUAGUUUGUAUUCUAGAAAGGGUGCCAGAAAUGGAAGAGUAUAAUUUUUAUUAAAUCGGGCAUUAAAUGUAAGUAGGUUGGAGUACAGAAAGGGUGCAACUGGCCUUCCCCACUGUAGCCUGAUGUGCUCCAACAUGCAUUUGUACUGAUGUGCAGGUGGUUAUAACACUAGUAUCAAACUGCAUGGUACCCACUUACUAAUGUGACCUACCCUUGCAUGAUCUUCUGCAGACAGCAAGAAAUCCGCUACUGCUCUUACUACCUGUCCAACAGUUGUGGAGGAUUUUUUCCCCUUGGUGCUUGACGUGACAUGUUUUGCCCUCUGCCCUUAAAAUCUCAAUUCUUGUUACAUUUUUCAUCCAUUUUCUAUCUCCUGAUGGAUCUGUAUUGAUUAAAAAACUAAUCACUGUAGAGGUGAUUGUAGAACUUUUGCUAGUGGCAGUGUGGAGGGGCUCCACUCUUUAAAAAAUAAAAUUACAUUGUGGGACAUGGAAUUAUUAUUAGAUGCUUUCAUGGACAUUUUGUUUACUGAAAAAGUCAGUCAUUAUCUGAGGUAUCUGAGGUAUCUAAAACUCCAUCAAAAGAUAAAUUUCAGUAAGUCUUUAACAAGUUUCAGUAUCUUGCUUCACAUGCUGGACCCUCCAACUAUAAAAAACAGUGUUUUGCAGAGAACAGCUAUUCAGAUGUUAACAUCCCAGAAUUUGUGUAGAAGAUAUCCCUUACAUUGUUAGUUUCAUUGUGGUCACACUCUACAGUGUAGUGUUAUCAGCAUACAUAUAGAAGUUUGAAGAACAUAUUAAAUUAAUUGCUAGACAUGCCUUAAGUGAAUAUGUUUACUACUAAUAUGAGUCAGCUAAGUAGUUGCUGCAAGUUUUUAUGUUGUUUCUAAAGUGUCUUUAGACAAGGAUAUUUCUGCUGUUUGUUUCCUGUUCUUCUGUUUCAGAUAACUACUCAUACAUGCAGCAACUGCUGAAGCAGCCUCUGGCAGGUUAUUGAAGUUCCGUGAACAAAGUGUUGUGUGGUCUGUUUGUGUAAAGUGAUAAAGAAAAAUGUUAAAGUGUAAUUGAAUAUGUAAUUGUGUAUAUAUUUAAUCAUUAUUUUUGCUAGUUGUAAGAUCUAUUUUCAUGUAAAUCAGAACAUUGUAUAAUAGGUAACAACCGAAUGAGGCAGUGUAGCUAUUAACAGCACUGACCUCAUAUUCGGGAGGAUGGGGUUCGCACUGUCUGGCCAUCCUGGAUCGCUAAGGCAAAUGCCGGGAUAGUUCCUUCAUCAAGGCCACGGCUGACCACCUGUCCCACCCUUAAAGAGAGCCUUUAAACAUUGUGUGUAUACUCAUAUUUUGAAUUAUUGAUGUUUGUUGUAUUAUGUUGAGAUAUUCUAGGAUUAAAUAAAAAAAGUUUAUACAUUUG